rnacentral:lncRNA from 1 species
GAUCAAAUGCUAACGCUACAACACAAAGGAGCAAGAAAAUCUUGUUCCAGUUUUGAAGAUAAGAGUCGUUAGGAUUCAUCACUCGUAUUAUCUUUUUCUUGUUCUCAUUCUUCUUUUGAGAAUGAAACGUUAAUGGCUGCUGCUUAAAGGUUCUGAUCUUCUCUGAGCCUUUCUCAAAGCUACGUCUAACUGUUUUUUUAAUAACUGAAGUUACUGAAGGUCUGUUCCAAGAAUCUUCAUUUUCAGUAAACCUGUUACAGAAAAAAAUAAAAUUAAAUCAAGAUUACUACAUAUUAACUCUUAAUUAACAAGACUAACAACAAAUCCAACUGAUACAUACUUUACAAACGUGUUUCUUUUGAGAUUCAUCAUCUCCAUCUACUCUUGUCUUCUUCAAAAGAUUCUCAAACCUGUGAAAAUAAAAAUAAAAAAUAUUAUCCAUUUUUCUUUUAUUAUUACCCCGUUUUGAAACUCCAGUAACUAUCUUGGAACAUACUGACAAAAUAUUACCCAUUUCAGUAGCUCUUUUGUUACCAGUGACGCAGGUCGACUCAUCGAUGGAACAACAGCUAGAACAACUACCUAUAAAAGCAAUGAAAGUUUUAGAUUCAACCAACAUCUUGAAGAAGUAAGAUUUGAGAAAGUAGCUGUACCUGAGGAAUAGGGAGAAUAGAAAGAACAUCGAUUAUAAAGUAUGACUUGAGGUAUCUCACAGCGAUUUUUUUAGAGCUCUGAACAAGCUCCCCUCUUCCAAAACCACGAGAAGAAGGAGCAAUGAAGCCAGUAUUAAACUGAAACAACAUGUGAACCAAAUAGAAAGCGUCGAUGAAAGUGCGGAAAACACAAGCCACUGCCUCGAGUUUCUUGUCUAGUUUAAGACAGAAUCUGUCUGGAUCCACCACGGGGAUGAAGAAAAAAAGAGGAUCAAAUGCUAACGCUACAACACAAAGGAGCAAGAAAAUCUUGUUCCAGUUUUGAAGAUAAGAGUCGUUAGGAUUCAUCACUCGUAUUAUCUUUUUCUUGUUCUCAUUCUUCUUUUGAGAAUGAAACGUUAAUGGCUGCUGCUUAAAGGUUCUGAUCUUCUCUGAGCCUUUCUCAAAGCUACGUCUAACUGUUUUUUUAAUAACUGAAGUUACUGAAGGUCUGUUCCAAGAAUCUUCAUUUUCAGUA